rnacentral:rRNA from 1 species
CUACGGGGUGCAGCAGUAAGGAAUAUUGCGCAAUGGAGGCAACUCUGACGCAGCCAUGCCGCGUGCAGGAAGAAGGCCUUAUGGGUCGUAAACUGCUUUUAUUUAGGAAUAAACCCCCGAACGUGUUCGGGGCUGAAGGUACUAAACGAAUAAGCACCGGCUAACUCCGUGCCAGCAGCCGCGGUAAUACGGAGGGUGCAAGCGUUAUCCGGAUUUAUUGGGUUUAAAGGGUGCGCAGGCGGGCUAUUAAGUCAGUGGUGAAAUCCCGGGGCUCAACUCCGGAACUGCCAUUGAUACUGAUAGUCUUGAGUUUGGUUGAAGUGGGUGGAAUGUAGCAUGUAGCGGUGAAAUGCAUAGAUAUGCUACAGAACACCAAUCGCGAAGGCAGCUCACUAAGCCAAAACUGACGCUCAUGCACGAAAGCGUGGGGAUCAAACAGGAUUAGAUACCCGCGUAGUC